UCAUUUGAAGGCUAAAACAAUGAGAAGUGCAUUGUGACCAGCGAUGUGUAGCAACAUCUGAUAGCCUGGUCAGUCACGUGAUCACGUGAUAUACACACACACACACACACUCACACACAUGUACCAUUAGUUAGGAAGAUAGCUUAGUCAUAAACCAUGUAAACUCUAUUAUGAAUUUUUUGAAUGUCCAAGAUUAAAAAGCUACUAUUAUAUAAGGGUGGAAUUCAGGGUAAUUCUUAUAAGUUCUUGGCUAAUUUAUGAAAUUUUCAUUUUGAUAUUUGCAUGGGUUUUCUUCUUUUUCUUUCUCUUUUGUUUUUUAUACAUCUAGCACAUUUUGUUAGACAAAAAAGAACGUCUGUUAUUGAUGUGUAACAUACCCCAUCAUACUUUUGGAGAUGGUAGAAUCAGCAAAGCAAUAGAUAAAAGACCUUUUUAAAGCUUUUAUAACUAUUGAUCUAUUAUAUCUGACAGCUCACUCAAUAUUUUAGAAGUUUGUGGGAUAAUAUAUUACUGGUACUUGCUUUAUUUGGUGGUUUAAACCAAGGAAGCUUCCAUGUGGUUUGCUUGAUGCACUAGAAAUAGAAGCUAAAUCUUCAGCACACCAACAGACUUUAAAAAGAAAAUGAAUGACACAUUAGAUACACUAUUUAAUACCCUAUUUCCAACUAAAUAUGGUUGGUCAGAGAUGGAAUAUCUCUAAUAUAAAGUCUGAUGGAUUAGGGCUGACCUUGAUCAAAACGACUCUGAGCACAAACACAUUUAGUCAUAUAACCUAUUGUUUCUGAAGUGACUACCUUAAUAAUAGUAGUUCUUUCUACUAUUAACACACAGCCUGAAAUUUUGAGUAAGGCCUAAGUCAGUAAUGUCAUGCCCAGUGUUCAACUGGUACUUAAAUUAUUUUAUUGACCUUGAAGGGAUGAAAGGCAAAGUCUAUCUCCGCAGAAUUGAACUCAAAAUAGAUUCAAAAUAAAUGCCACUAAGCAUUUUACCUGAUAAUCUAACAAUUCUUCCAGCUUGCUGCCUUAAUAAUAACAAUGGUUUUUGAUUUAGGCACAGGACUUGCAAUUUUGGGGAAAGUAGGUAAUUUGAUAUCACUACUACCAGUACUUGACUGGUACAUUGUUUUAUUGACCCUAAAAGGAUGAAGGAUAAAGCUGACUUCAGCAGGAUUUGAACUCGGAAUAUAGUGGAAAUAAUAAUGCUAAGGAUUUUUGCCAAUGCUUUAACAAUUCUUCCACCAUGUGACCUUAAUAAUGGUUUCAAAAUUAAGUACAAGGCCAGCAGUUUUGAAAAUUUGACCAGUAUUUUAUUUUAUUGACCCUGGAAAGAUGAAAAUUAAAGUUCAUGACAGAAUUUGAACUCAAAACAGCAGUUCUGCUAGUUCACCACAAUAAUAAUCAUCAUCAUCAUAUGUCCACUUUUCCAUGCUUGCAUGUCAGAUGGAACUUGUUAAGGCAGGUUUUCCACAGCUGGUUGCUAACUCUCACUUGUUUCCAAGCAAGGUAAUAUUUCCCCAUGGCCUGAUGUGCUUUUCACAGAAGACUAGAAAUGAAGAUACUGCUUGUAUGAUGAUCACAUUUGCUUGCAGUUAGCAUACAAUGCCAAGACAAGCAUACAUAUAUACAUAUAAGAUGUUAAAUGAUGAUGAUGGUGACUUGCCCAAGGUGCUGCUCCAUGGGACUGAGUAUUAAUGGUCAUAUUUUGCCAGUCAUUCAAACAAACGGAAAAUGGUAACCGAACAGGAUUAAACUGAUUUUCUCUGUCAUGAAUGUUGUAUAAAUCCAAAUACCCAGUUUCAGUGAUGGUAUGCUAGUGCUAUAAAUAUUCUCCCUUAGGUGUACUCCCUCUUUCUCCUACAUGUACUCCUUGUAUUUGCAUGUUUGACUUUGUCUUCAAAAAAGGAAUAAUUUUUUUAUUACAACUAUAUAUAACAAUGAUCUUCAAUGCUUUGCACACACACAAACAUUCAAGCAUUCACACACCGCCCCCAUGGAGAGACACAUAUUACACACUCACAAACAGGCAUUCACACAUGCAGAGAGAUACAUGGACACAUACACAAUUUUUAUGUUACAGCAAAUAUAAUUUUUCUAUCUGCCCCCCCCCCCCUCCUUUCUUUUCUUUCAUCAUUUUUCCGUUUAAAUUUCCUGGCAGUAACUAGUGAUGGUGUUGAUAACAGCUUAGGGUCUUCUUAUCCUAGCCAGACAUCACUGUUUGUGAUGCUAAGGUCUUGGUAAAUAGAAUUAUUGACUAGAUUUAAAAACUUUUGAGCUUGAUCUGUUUCCUGGACUAUAUUGGCCAUGUCCUCAAUUGAACACACACACUGCUCUGUAAGCAUUUUUUGUAUAUAACUGCUGUACAUAGUCAUAUAUUCACACACAUACACAAACCAAUAGGGGAGCAUCUAUGUGGUCAUUCAUUUUGCUGAAAAUAGCUGUCAUGUCUCCCUCCCUCUUUAAAAGAGAUAACCACAUUAAAUAAUGUAAUUUUGGAAUGAUCAUAGGUAGAAUGGCUUUGAUCAUAGGCCUGGCCUGUCAAGGUUAAUCUAAGGCUAAAUGGUGCUACAGCUACCAUUGUUGGUUUAUGUUCCUUAGUUGAAUAAUCAAAUAGAAAAUGGUGGUGGUCAGGUAGAUUAAAUGUUUAGUUAUAUCCUUUAGUGUUCUAAGUUCAAAUCCUACCAGGGUGGAUUUUACAUUUUAUUUUGUUGGGAGAUGGGAAAUGUUGGUUAAAUAAAGCACCAGUGAUAUAUUGAGGCUAGUUUACUUGCUGGGAUUCUUUCUUGUAGAGAUACACAACUUUUUGGCAACAUAAAUUAUUAUUGCCUUCGUAGCCAGCAACUGUUUAGAAAGGGUUUCUCAUUUGACAUUUAACCACUAGCACAAUAGCAGACAUUGUAAAACACCAGUUGGAGUCAGCCAGGUUAUAGUCUGGGGAGUUCUGAGGAAGAGGUAGAAUGGACAACCUUCGGGAGCCACUCAGUAAAUGAUAGUUGCAGUGCAUGUGUGUGUGUGAGUGUGAUCUUGUAAGUAGACCUGUUUCUCUUUCCCAACAUAAAUUGAUGUUUAUAACAUCUGUAAAUAUCAUUUUCUCAUCUUUGCUGUUGAAUUAGGUGGAGGCUGGUAAGAAAGGACAAUGUAUUUCUUCUGAUAUAUUUUUGUUUCUUUCAGAAGUUUUGUUUUACUCACAUUGUAACUGGCAGAAAACGAAAUGUGCAUGCAUGUAUGAUGUAUGUAUGUAUAAAUACAUAUUUAAUUACACACAUGUAUAAAUGAAGCAUGGGUGGUAGGCAGUGUUAAUUUAUUGGACAGUGUGCUUGUGAAUAACAGCAAGACAAUAAAAGCUUUCCUUCCUAGUUUGCUAAGACUGACUCUGACUUGUCUAAGCAUUUUUCAUAUAUUCUCACUAAUUAGUAAUUAAUUAAUAAUAUAAAUAAAUACCAGCUAAACAAAUUAUGUCAGCAUCCAAUUGAAGCCAGUCUGUCUUUACAGCUAACAAUGAUAACUGUCUGUAGUAUUUGAUGUUGAAACUUCUGGGGAGAGGCUGGACAACUUUAGCCCAGCAAUUUGCAUGCAGCUUAAAACAUGGUUCCAUGUUGAACACAUUAUUCUAUUUGAAACAGGUCGGUGUAUUCGAUUGUAAUUUUAAUGGCAUGAUUCCAGUAUGAUCGCAGGCAAUGAACAAACCCAAUAAUAGAACUAAAUUAUUCAUUUAGCUGCUUGUAAUAUUGCCCACGAGCCAGUUUACCAUUUGUCCAGAUGUUGCAGCUCCUGACCCAGUUGGCAAGACAUUUAAACUAAAACCCAUCUAUUGUUAUACAGCUGUAAUUUAAUGAUGUACAUCCAUCUGCUUUUUAAUAGGUUUGUAUAUAUCUGCAUGCAUGUAUAUAUAUAUAUACAUACAUGCAGAAUACACCGUUUGCUGUUAUAUCUAUUAUCUAUUGAUGUUUUAAAGUGUAUGUUGGCCUAUUAACUAGUUUCUGUGUGUCAGAACAAUUAUUCAUGUAUAUGUUUAUAAAAAUUUGCACAAUAUAUAAACAUGACAGCAAGCUGGCAGAAUCAUUAGUGUGUCGAUCAAGAAUGCUUAGUGGCAUUUCCUCUAGUUCUUUAUGUCCUGAACUCAAACUCUGCCAUGGUCAGUGUUGCCUUUCAUCCUUUCAGGGUCGAUCAAAUAAGAGCCAGUUGAGUAUUGGGGGGUCAGUGUAAUCAACUUAAUUCUCUCAAAAUUUCAGGCCCUGUGCCUAUAGUAAUUACUAUCAUCAUUAUUAUUAUAUACACACAAACACACACACGAGCCGUUCUGUCCUCUAAAUGAAAACAACAUACAAGUUAAAAGAAUCUUUUACUACUGCUAUUAGUACACUACUAUUACUAAUGAUUUGUUUUGGUUGAGUGUUUACUGCCCUUAUUUAGUUUUACUACUCUAAAUUUUCACUGGGCCAGAAGUACCAUCCUUUUUAUUGUCUUUACCUGCAACUACAUUCUAGCAAACCCCAUUGUAGUAGUCCAAGUUGAGUGGAGAGGGAAACCUUUCAUAGUGAAGAAAUAGCAACCCAAUUUUUUUCAAGUCACACCCACACUGUUCUAAAAAAAAAAAGAGGACACAUUAGAUGAUGUACUCUUAGAUACCCACCCUUUGGAAUACUUUUGUUUGUCUUUCUGCUUGAUCAGGGCCUAUUUGUAUAUUCUUCAAGCUCUUUGUAUAAAUCUUUUUGCCCUAUCCUCACUCAUGCCCCGUCUAUUCUCUAUUUAAUUCCAUUAUUAAAACCACUGUUGUCAUGUGAAAGAAAUCACGUUGCUCCGUGAGGGAAGAUGGGUGGAAAAAAAAAACUUGACAGGAAAAAAAAAAUGGAAACAAUUUUUAAAAAAUAUAUUUAAAAAAUUAUAAUUUCAAAAAAAAUGGUUAAAAAAAAGUAUUUUUGUAUCAAUAAAAAAAAAAACAAAAACAAAAAAAUAUCCCCCCUCCUUAAAAAAUUCAACCAAAAAAUUUUUAAAAACUCCUAAACUAUGUGAAAUACUUCAGGUCCAACUAUUGUCUUUGUACUUUUUACAUACUUGAAUAAAAAUUUGAAAGGUAAAAAAAAUAAAUAAAAACUUU